rnacentral:rRNA from 1 species
GACGUAGGAUGCAAGCGUUGUCCGGAAUUAUUGGGCGUAAAGAGUUCGUAGGCGGUUUCUUAAGUCUGGUGUUAAAGACGGGAGCUCAACUCCCGCAUGGCAUUGGAUACUGGGAAGCUAGAGUGUGGUAGAGGUCUCGGGAAUUCCAGGUGUAGCGGUGAAAUGCGUAGAUAUCUGGAGGAACACCGGUGGCGAAGGCGGCAUCCUGGACCGACACUGACGCUGAGGAGCGAAAGCCAGGGGAGCAAACGGG